UAAAAAUUUUAUUAGAAUAUUAUUUGUUGGUCUAAAUUAAUUUUAAAAGUAUUGGCGGUAAAAAGUUAAAUUCUGAGGAACUUGUUUAUUUAAAUUGAUAUUUCACAUUAAAUUUCACUUAUAAUAAUUUUUAUGUAUUGCUGUUUUAUUAUUUAUUUAUUAAAAUUAAUUAAUAGGAUUUACAUAAAUUUUGUAAAGAAAUUCAAGUCAAAAUGUAGAUUUUUAUAAGGAUAAAUGAGUUACAAUUAUAUUAAUAUAUGAAACUGUAAAGUUAAUUGAAAAUAUUAAUGAAUAAGGUUGGAUUAGGGUGUAAAAAAAAAAUAAUUAAUUUUUUUGAUAUGAUUUACUUUUAUGU
rnacentral:rRNA from 1 species